rnacentral:rRNA from 1 species
UACGAAGGGGGCUAGCGUUGUUCGGAGUUACUGGACGUAAAGGGCGCGUAGGCGGCGCACCAAGUCAGGCGUGAAAGCCCUGGGCUCAACCCGGGAAUUGCGCUUGAGACUGGUGUGCUUGAGUACGGGAGAGGAUAGUGGAAUUCCCAGUGUAGAGGUGAAAUUCGUAGAUAUUGGGAAGAACACCGGUGGCGAAGGCGGCUAUCUGGACCGUAACUGACGCUGAGGCGCGAAAGCGUGGGGAGCAAACAGG